AAUGGGGAGAGGGAGGAUGAGAAGGAGUAAUUGCGGGAGAGUAUGAAAGAGGAAGUGAGUUCCAUUUGAGAAGAUGAGGGAAGUUAUCGAUUGAGCAUUGAGACGGUUUGUUUGUUAGAUUACUGUUAGAAGGAAAAACUUUAUGAGUGCUAAGAGUGGAAGAGAAAAGAGGGUUUUACGCUGAGUUGCAGGGUUCUGGUAAUUCUGGACUCAACGACGCUAGUUGGAUAAGAGUUGCGCUAUUGAGACAUCAACAGGGCGUAGGCAGUGAUCCGGCUAUCUUUGACAUGGUGCUGAUCAAUCGGACUCUUGUAGCUUGAAUUAUGGUUCGAUUAGUGAGAAGAGGCCUGGAUUUAUCAAUUUUGGCUCCUUAUGAUAGAUCCUGGUAUCCUGCUUUGCAUAUGUGCAUUAUAGUUUAAGUGAUCCUCAUAUAAAUUUAACUCAUCUAACAAAGUAGAAAUCUAAUAUUUAAUCAAUUAUGCAAUUAGAGGAACAAAGCAUAAAAUUAGUGAAAUUGAACGGUAAUACAGAAGAAUUGAUAUAAUGCAACUAAGCAAGCACAUAAAUAUCAUGAAUAUUCUGCUCCUUAGCUUCUAGCAAGGAGUUAACACUUAAUCAACAUGAUCACAUUGUACCAGAUUUCUUGCUACUCCGUCUUAUGGACAUUGAUGUUAAAUUCGACAUUGACGUUAAAUUCUUAAGAAUUCUAUUUUCAAAAGUGCAGAUCUUCAAUGAAUUUAAUGCAAGGAAGCUAGAUGAAUUCAACAUAUUUAAAGGAGUCACGAGAUCUACCUCUUUAUGGGAAUAAUAGGCUUGACAGUUGUACUUCAGUUUAUCAUCGUUGAAUUCCUCGGAAAAUUCACUUCCACAGUCAGGCUUAAUUGGAAGCAGUGGUUCAUCUGUGUCAUUAUUGGCUUUAUUAGUUGGCCUCUUGGUUGUUUUGGGAAAUUGAUACCAGUGCCACACACUCCCAUCAAUAAUAAAUUUAGAAGAAUUCUUCAUGGAAGAACUCAAAUGCAAAGUGGUCAGAGUACAACAGGAGAAAGACCUUCCUACUCCAAACUAGUUAUAUGUUGCUAUUUGAUUGUAAACUUAUUUUCAAGAUUUCAACGUCGAAGAACAUCAACGCACCAGGUUCUAUACUGUAGUGCAGUCACAUGUUUUGUUUAUUAUCAAGAUUUUUAAAUCAACCGUUAAUAGAGUCCGAUACUCUCCUUUUUUUUUAUAUAUGACGAUAUACUAUAUGAUAUUUAUCUUUCUUUGUUUCAACCAACAAUAUUUGCAUCUCUGCAUAUGCCCCCACGUUUAUGUGGCGAAGUACUUUUUCAUUUGUUCAGUAAUUUACAUUUAGUGAUAUUGCUGUAAUUCUUCAUUCAUCUUGAUAAAAAUAUUAUA